UACAUGGGGUGCAAACGUUGCUCGGAAUUAUUGGGCGUAAAGCGCGCGUAGGCGGUUACUCAAGUCGGAUGUGAAAGCCCUCGGCUUAACUGAGGAAGUGCACCCGAAACUGAGUAGCUAGAGUACUAAAGAGGGUCGCGGAAUUCCCGGUGUAGCGGUGAAAUGCGCAGAUAUCAGGAGGAACACCGAUGGCGAAGGCAGGUCUCUGGGCAUUAACUGACGCUGAGGAGCGAAAGCAUGGGGAGCGAACAGG
rnacentral:rRNA from 1 species